rnacentral:lncRNA from 1 species
CUUCCUGUCCAAAGCCACUUAUUCGCCACUCAUUGUUCCUGGCUAAGGCCACCCUCAGCCUGUUAGAAGAGUGAAGGGCUAGGAAGAAAGUUGUGGGGGAGUUUGCGAUGGUUUUCCCUGGGGCUUUUCUCUAAAUCCCGUGUUUGGAAGUCCUUUCUGAAUGAACUCACACUUGGACUGAAGAGGGAGAUUGCCCAUGAUCCUGAACUCGUUCAGCUGGUGCAUCAGUCAAAUGAGUUGUUCGAGUUUCAAUUGGAGAGAUAAUGCCAUUUAAGAUGAGGAUAACUCCGUGAUGCCUCAGAUGAUUUCAUUGCAGCCUUUGCCUAGACUGCAACAUGGCCAAUAAUGCCACGCCUUGCAUAUGGGUGGCCGUUGUGGCACUUCAGACAUUCUCUAGUAACAGGACCUCGAUGCUGAGAGACAAAAUCUGCAUCCUCACCUGUCAGAUAAGGAGACAGCCCAAAGAGUGAGUGUGGUCACCAGACCAUGCUCUACACGUUAGAACAAAGGACCCCAGAAGCACAUCUGCCCCAGACUCAACCAGAUGGGCUUUGCUGUCCAGACAACAUAGGUGGAGACCUCACAUUUCGAGGGAACGUGGAACACGGAACACUUCAGAUUUUCAACGAUGCUGGAUUUGAGCUGUUCACUUGAAAAUAAAGUCUGUUGCAUCACAAGUGCUGGUUGGCAUCGCUGUCCUCCUAUCAGUGGAUUAAGAAAAGGCACAGCGAAAAACUAGUUUAAAAUCACCAGUCGGAUAUUUUACAGGCGAGGUCCAGCACGAUCACUCACACGGCUGCUGCUAGGCUGGCUCUGCCCGUUAUUCUUCCAUCCUGGCACCAUGCUUCUAAUUUAUCCUGAAUACAUGGAGACUUGAGCACUGAUGGGAUAGAUAAAAAAAACGACAGCAAUCUUCUCUCCAAAAAAGCAACAUAAGACUAGAUAAAAUGGUCAAAAAUAAUCAUUUCAGAAUGAUUCUAGAAAAUGACCAAAGGCAGACAACAAAUUGAGAUGUGUGUUUCGUUUUUUUUGAAUCUACUGGGGCUUGGAAGGAACAGUGGGAGACUAUGGAAUUUUAGCUCAGGGCAGCGUGGUAUAGUUUCACAAUGGAAUACUACUCAGAAAUAAAAGCGAUAAACUGUUGAUACAUGCAACAAUGUGGAUGAAUCUUAAGAUAAUAAUGCUGAGUCAAAGAAGCCAGACAAAAGUAUGUAUAGUGUGAUUCGAAUUAUAUGAAAUUCUACAAAAUAUACACUAAUCUAUAAUGACAGAAAUAGAUCAGGGGUUGCCUGGGGAACUGGGGUGGAGGGUGUGCCAAGAGAGGCAGGAAAGAAGGAUUAUGAAGGGGCAGGAGGAGAGCUUUGGGGAUGGGGAUGUAUUCAUUAUCUUGAUUGUGAUGAUAAAUUCUCCGGUGUACACAUAUAGCAAAAUUUAUCAAAUUAUACACUUUAAACCAUGUGCAGUUUUUGUAUAUGGAUUGUACCAAAAUAAAGUUUUUUAAAGGGAUGCUAAUCAAUGGAUUAUACUACCUGUAGCUUGCCUACACCUCAUCUCCUUCCUCAAAACAGUUAACCUACAGGUACCUAGUAGCUAUUCCAAAACUGCUCCUCGAACUUGUGAAUGAGUAAGAGAAUGAACAAACGCACCCACUUAUCAACCUAUUCUAUGUCCU